rnacentral:lncRNA from 1 species
AGCUCCUGGAUUUGCUUAAAAGAAAACAAACAACAGUUGUGGCUAGGCCUUCAGCUGUGGGCUACAAAUGGACCGUGAAGGCAGAGAUAGCUCAGUGGCUUGCUGAAGGCAGAAAUAGCUCAGUGGCUUGCUGAAGGCAGAAAUAGCUCAGUGGCUUGCUGAAGGCAGGGAUAGCUCAGUGGCUCAGUGGCUGUCGAGCUUGAUGUAAGUCUGAUCGCUAGAACCCACGUGGUAGAAGCAGAGGACUAAAUCUUUCGAGUUGUCUCCUGACCUCCACCUGUGCACCACGCAUGCCCCUCUCUCCAUCAAAUGAAUAAAUGUAAAAAAGAAACUAAAAACAAGAUGUCCAACUGACAUACAAGGGUGACUCAAAACAAAUGUAAGAAAAUAUAAUGCUGUGACUAUUGUAUUGUAUUGUAUUGUAUUGUAUUGUAUUGUAUUGUUACAUGCUUAAGAUACAAAUAAGUCUUUGAAACACAUACAAAGUAACUCAUGGAUCUGUGAUAACCAAGCAACAAUGGAAGGCCAUUAAAGAUUCUUUAAGCUGAAAAGAUGGCUCAGUAAAAGCACUGGUUGCUCUUCCAAAGGGCCAGGGUUCAGAUCCCUACACUAGCCUGGCAGCCCAUGACAAUCUGCAACUCAAGUCCUAUCCUGACCUCCACAGGUGCCAGGCAUAAUACAUACACAUAUGUGCAGGCAUAAUACAUACACAUAUGUGCAGGCAUAAUACAUACACGUAUGUGCAGGCAAAACUCCCACAUAAAUAAAUCUUCUAAAGAGAUUUUUUAAAAUUAUCUUUUUUUGGUAACUGCUAAGUUCCAGAUCCUAGGAAACAGUUCCUGAAAGGUGAACUUAACAGACUAAAACAAUCACUUUGCUUUCUUCCAGGUACCAGUUGAAACGAAAUUCUAAUCAAGAUACAAUUCGGAAGGAUUCUCAUCUGUCAUAACAAAAACAACCUUAUACCUAGAAAGUUAUUGCUAAGUUCAUACAUUGUAUGAACGAUAUUUUUAUUUGACAGAAUUAUGUUUCAAACUUUGGAACGAGAUUGUUCUAGCAUGGUAUAUUUUUCACAUAUCUAGUUAUGAAAUUAUGUACAUAUUCCUAAUUUUCUACCUUGUAGACUUAUCAAGGGUAGAAAAGUAUUUUGUUUAUUGUAUUUUUGUAGCGCAGACCGAUUCCUUUCCAAGUCAUUAUCUUCUUGCUCAACAUUUUAUGGUGUAUUUACACCACUGCUUUGACUCCAAUUUUUACAGGUCAUGCUAAUAUGUCUCUAUUUUAAACAAUUAAGCUGUACGGGUGUGUGCUAUUUUAUUAAAUGUGUCAGUUUUCUG